rnacentral:rRNA from 1 species
CCCUUAGAUGUUCUGGGCUGCACGCGCGCUACACUGAAGCUAUCAACACGUUUUCCCUCCCUGAGAAGGGCGGGUAACCUUUUGAAUCAGCUUCAUGGUAGGGAUCGGGGCUUGCAAUUGUUCCCCGUGAACCAGGAAUUCCUAGUAGACGCGAGUCAUAAGCUCGCAUCGAUUAAGUCCCUGCCCUUUGUACACACCGCCCGUCGCUACUACCGAUUGAACGUUUUAGUGAGGCAUUUGGACCGACGCAUCUCAGUUUAACCGCUGGUUUGUGUUGGAAAGACUUCCAAACUUGAGCGUUUAGAGGAAGUAAAAGUCGUAACA